rnacentral:rRNA from 1 species
GAGACUCUGUGCGCGUGCAUAUCAAUAAGCGGAGGAAAAGAAACUAACAAGGAUUCCCCUAGUAACGGCGAGUGAAGCGGGAAGAGCUCAAAUUUGAAAUCUUCAAGGGUUUCCCUUGACGAAUUGUAGUUUUAAAGAAGUGUUUUCUGUUAGAGAGGUGGUAAAAGUUCUUUGGAAUAGGACAUCAUAGAGGGUGAGAAUCCCGUAUUUGAUCACUUUCUACUAACGUUGUGAUACACUUUCAAAGAGUCGGAUUGUUUGGGAAUGCAGUCCAAAAUGGGUGGUAAAUUUCAUCUAAAGCUAAAUAUUGGCGAGAGACCGAUAGCGAACAAGUACCGUGAGGGAAAGAUGAAAAGAACUUUGAAAAGAGAGUUAAACAGUACGUGAAAUUGUCAAAAGGGAAGCGUUUGACACCAGUGUUGUUUUUCCGAAAAUCAAUUAAGAAUGGCCGGAUUUUAAGUUUCAUGACCUUAAAAGCUUGUUUCUUAUUUUUCUUGUCUUUCUUAAUGCACUUUUCGGUUAACAAGUCAACAUCAAUUUCUUUUGUUGUAAAAGGUUAAGAGGAAGGUGGCUUUCCUUUCAGGCUCAAGUGUUUAUAGCCUUUUAAUCUCUGCAAUCGGAGAGAUUGAGGUCUGCAGCGUAGAUCCUUCGGGGUUAGAUACGUUUGUGCUAAGUUAUAGCUUUUCAUAGACAACUUGUUGACUAUGUUUAGUCUUGUAGCUUACUCGCAUGACGCUAUUUUACCUACGCUUAGGAUGUUGAUCUGUAGUGCGUGCG